CAGACCUCUAAUCGGAAAAAGACNCUAAUC
rnacentral:rRNA from 1 species